AAAAUGAGAGUAAAAAUUCAUCGUGCAGGCUUCCUAGAUUUGUUAAGACAGUUGAAGCCCGGUGCCAGACACAUGCUGGUCAGAACUAUCAGUCCUUCUCGUACCUGACAAAAACGCAUUUCACUGCUAAGGUGCACCAGGUGGUGUUCUUAGUGAGGGAUUGCCUGGUGAGCCAAAGGACAAAGGUUCCUGCCCUGUGGAGCACACACCUGAGACGUGAGACCACUGUGGUCCGGGAUCGGGCAUCCCCCCGAAGCUACCCUCAAGGUCAAGCAGCACUCCAGGACUGGAGCUCGGUGAUCUCUACCUCCCCUGGCCCUCAGAGGCUCUCUAGGCCACACUGAGCUUCCCGUAAUGUCCUUUGCACCCAAUUCCAAUGAGCAUUUGUGUCUACCCUGUUCGACAUUGGGUGUCCCUCAGGAGGAAACUCACAGACCAUUUGAGGAGAAAUUUGGGGAACUGAAACCUCUAACCUCUCUGGGCUCUUCCCCCAUUCUGUCUACAUUGACCGUCUUGUCUCAUCACAAGUUAAAAGCCAAGGUUUACGGGGUACGAGUUACAAAUGCUUGACAGCAUUUCUCAGUAAUGUCCCAUGUCCACAGAUAAAAGAAUUCUAGGGACAUAGGUUCUGGAAAUUCUAUGUGAGACCUUCUCCUUGUGAAGCUUUGCACUUCACAUAAAAGAAUCUAACUCAGGCAAAAAAGAAAAAGUGUAUUAAACUUCAUCUGAUCUGGUUCUUCAGACUUCUUUAACAGCAUACCCCCUUUUUUUCAAAGUUCCUGUUUGCAUAUCUUUCAGUUACCAUCCUGUGUGUUACAUCAGAAUCCUCAGUCGAGCUAGUCUAAACAACUAACAUAGUACGCUGGCUUUUGUGACUGAUACGUCUUGAAGUCACAAGGGCCUCAGUUAUAGUUACAUCAAGGCUUAGCUCUGUUGCCAGGGAUCACUAUUCCCUCCUCUGGGCCUUUGUCAGCUUCCUUGUCUGACUUUCCUCAUAGCAACAAAAUGGCAGCCAUAGUUCUGGGCAUCCCAUCCGCAUACCUGCUUCACAGAGGAAGAGAAGCCUUCUCUCCUCCCCAUGAUGGACUGCAUAUUCUGGGCCUGCUUAGUCCAAGUGCUCAUCCCUGAGCCAAUCCCCAGGCAAGAGGAAUGGGUCUUGAAAGCCCACCCCAAGAAUGAAGUCAUCGUGUUUUCUACAAAGCCUGUGGCAAUGUCCUCUCUCUAGAAACACUCAUCCCACCUGCCCCUACCCCCUUUCUUCCUGCUAAGAUCCUAAGGAUGGUUAGGCCUCUUCCUGAAUCCUGGAUGUAUAUCAUGAUUUGUAGAGCCAUGUAAUUCUCUUCGCUAGCAGUUGGUUCAGAAAUAGCUGUGAGACUUGGUUCUAGCUGAUUAGAUACAAGCAAAACUCUGCUGGGUGGGGCUUCUAGGAAAACCUUUGCCUUUCUGACGAGAAGAACAGACCUGACUGGCCGGCCCCUUUGCCUCAUUACCAUUCCUUCUUCAUCAAACCCAGAAGGAGAAUUGAUACCUCAGAGGCAUGGCAGCCAUCUUGGGACCAUGAGGCAGCAACUGUGAAGACUAACGCCACCAUGCCAGAGAUGCUGGAACAGAUGGACCGGUCCCAAGGCCUACAUAGCAUCACCAGGCAGCUGCACACACGCUGGUCUAUUUUCAGUACAAAAUUAGAAAUUCAUAUUUGUUUAAGCCAAAGGCAUUUCUCACUGACACAAGGCCGAGUCUUUUUUUUUUGCAAACUACGACUUGUGUAGGCACAGAGAUACAGCCUGGAAGGCACAGUUCAAGUUUCGGUGAAUCCCUAAGACUUCUUAAAUACAUUCCGCCCCCUUAUGUUUGUGAGAAAGCAGAUUAUCCAGCCUUUAUCCACUCCAGCAGAGGGCCGAGUACUCCCUGUCUGUGUGGGACGUCAGGAGUCACAUGUCGGACGGCAGGCCACAGAAUACAGCCACUGGCUUUUCUGCGUCCCAGGGUUGUUCUGGGGCUGGUUUCAGGGGCCAGUAGCAGUGGCAACGUGAAAGCCCAUUCUUUACCCCAGAUACCAGUUGGGGUUCAGAAAAGUCUCCCUAGAGCCUUCAACUUAUUCCCCCUUCCAUCCCAGUCACGCUGGGAUCUCUCCUGAGAAAAAACGCAAAAAUGAGAAAAGGGAAAACCUAAAAACAUAAGCUUUAUCAUCACAGCCAGAUAGACCGUAGCCAAAAAAAAAAAAGAA